rnacentral:lncRNA from 1 species
GAAGGUUUUCUUGGGCUCGAGUAAGGGCGACUCGCACGCAUGCAGGCGGGCGGCCUUGUGCCGCUGCACCGACGGCCUAAUUGGAGACGUCGUACCAAGAGUCGGUCUGGCCCUGCGCGCGGCAUGCCAAGAGGCACGCCAUGCACGUGCCGACUGUGGGGUCCUUGCCGUCGCCCUGCUCGAUGGGACGGCCGGCGAGCGUGCACGCUUGCGAAUGGGCAAGCACGCGGCGGGUGCGGUCCUGAUCUGCCGCGAGGCACUCUACAAGCAGCCGCGACCCGUCGAGGUAGAGGGCGCCAAAGGCCGUCGGGUGCGCGGCACCGUCGGUGGGUCCCCUGCACGCGCGCUUGAUCCCGCCGCCCAAGUCGACGCCGUCCGGAACCGUCACGCCACCGACGCAAAACACCUCGUCGGCGUCGUCGACAAAGCGACGGCCGUCGGCGGCGAUCAAGGCAGCCCGACCACACGGAUGGCUGCCCCCGCUCCAGGUGCCCUCGACGCGCUGGCCGUUGGGCCACACGUGGACGCCCCGCCCAUGGGGUGUACUCAACUGCCAUUGUCCGUGGUGUGACCGGCCGUCGGGCAGGACCAGGGUGCCCUCGCCGUUCCACCCUCCGCGCUCCCAUUGGCCCUCGUAGCGAUGGCCGCUCGCACAGCAGAGCACGCCCCAGCCCUUGCGCACGCCGUCUACGUAGGCGCCCCGGUAUGUAAAGUUGCCGGGACACGUGAAGGUGCCCUGGCCGUGCCGCAGUCCGCCCGCGCAUUCGCCCUCGUAUCGGUUGCCUGCGACAGAGGUCACGACCGUGUGGCCGUGGGGUUGGCCGUCGGCCCACAGACCCUCGGCGCGCGAACACGCCGGCCGCGCAAAGGCACCGCGUGGGUCGACGCCGUUGGAAACAACGUCCUGUGCGUUGACACGCACCUUUAGGCCGUAGCCGUGGGGCACGCCCCGUUCCAGGUCGCCACAAUAAAAACAGCCCUCGUUGUGCUCGACGGCCACGCAGCCAGGUCCGGUCGAGCCGACGGCGCCACGCUGCGAGCGCGC